rnacentral:tRNA from 1 species
GGGGUUGUAGCUCAGUGGUAGAGCACUUGUCUCACAGGCAUGGGGCACUGGGUUUUAUCCUCAGCAACACAU